rnacentral:lncRNA from 1 species
UAAAGCAUACAUAUAAGGUGUAAAAUCCACAUCUAACCCUCUAGACCUAGAAAGAAAGAUAGAAAAGUAAAACUUUCUUAAGCUAGGCCACAUAACUCUUACAGGAUGCUCUGAUUGAAGUAGUUCUGCUGCUGCACCAUAAUAUGUUUGAAAUGCUUGUUGUGAAGAAUUUUUUAUGCCCUGUUGUGAUAUUAAGGCCCUUA